GAUUUCACAGAGCAAGUAUCAGAACAUGUUACAACCCAUUUCUAAGGAAGUUCCUCUAAGCUUCCUGUCUAUACCAUAAACCAUGGUCUGCUGGUCUCCUCUUCAUUCAUUCAUUCAUCCAAGAUACUUUCUGGAUGUCCCUGUCUUCAGGAAGAAGGGCCUAAUAGUGGAAUGCUAUGUGGGCAUUGCCACUGGACAGAAACAUUCUUCUCUUUGCAUAAAGUCACAUGAUGCUGGCAUGAUGAACUUUGGGUCUGACUCAAGAUGAAAACUCCUGAAUUCACAAAAAAAAUGUAAUGAUAUGGUUGGUAUUUUAUAUUGUGUAAAGCAACAAAUUUUCAACCCAGAAUCCUGGGAAAGAUCCCAUUUCUAGGUACUGUAUAUAAGAAUCUUAUAGCUGGGGUUGGAAUAUCAAAGAAAAAAGACUAGGGGUUUUUAAUCUAGUGUGAAAAAUGCUUCAGAUGUUACAAUUAUAUGUCAUACAAGAA
rnacentral:lncRNA from 1 species